AGCAGCCAACCAGCAGGAAUGGAGGCAGGGAGGCCCGGGGGGAGGCCAUCACUGUGCCCCAGGCAGUGGGGGGACACAAGGCAGUAUUUUGGAGGUAGUGCAGGCAGGAGCCACAGAGGAAUUGGAUGUUGGAGGGGCACACUGAGGACGAGGACAACUCGAGGGUCUGAACCAAGAGACACGUGGUGUUGCUGCUGACCAGGAAGGACAGUGCUGGAGGGGCGGGGCUGGGCACAGGGUCGUGCAUUGUUACCACCAUGGGACGCCAGCACCAGGGGAGAGGUGGAGAGGGCAGAGGUGGGUCCUGAGGGGCUAGGACAGGUCACAGGUGAGCAGGAGUCUGUGUGGCAUGGUGUGUGCAUUGUGUGAUGUCUGUGUGGCAUGGGGUGUGUGUGUUGUCUGGCAUGGUGUGUAUAUGUAUAUUGUGUGGGUCUAUGUGAUGUGUGUGUGUGUGUUGUCUGGCAUAGUGUGUGUAUAUUGUGUGAGUCUGUGGCAUGGUGUGUGUGUGUGCAUGGUGUAUCUGGCAUGGUGUAGUGUGUGUAGUGUGUCUGUGUUGCAUGGUGUGUGUGUAUAUUGUGGGUCUGCAGCAUGGUGUGUGACGUGUGUCUAUGUGUAUGUUGUGGGUAUGCAGCAUGGUGUGUGGCAUGGGGUGUGUGUGUAUGUGUAUUGUGGGUGUCUGUGGUGUGUGUGUGUAUAUUGUGAGGGUCUAUGUGGUGUGUGUGUGUGAUAUUGUGUGGAUCUGUGUGGCAUGGUGUGUGUGUUUAUGUGUAUUGUGGGUGUCUGUGUGGCAUGGUGUACGUGUGUGUAUUGUGGAUGUUUACUGUCCUGGGCAGUAGAAAGGACGUUGGGGAAGCAGCCCCAGCAUCAGGGGCGGGCCAGGAAUGCAGAAUGCAUGGAAGCUGGUCAGGUCAGAGCCCGGGCUGAAGGAAGCACGGAGAUGCAAGGGCACCAGGGCCUGUGGGACCAGGAGCCGAUGAUCAGGGCCACAGUGCACACAGCCUUGGAGUGAAGGUGCAAGAACUGGGCCAUCCCAUGGGUCCACCAGGGCUUUGACAAGGCAGGUGCUGGGGCAGAGCACUCUGGCCAGGAAGCAAAAGAUGAAGGUUCCCAUCUUGGCCCCAGCCUGGAUCUGUGCCCAGUGAUAGUCAUCAGCCUGGAUCUGUGCCCAUUGCAUUGUGUGGACAUACCACGCCAUGUUUCUCCAUCACCUUUUGAGGAAACUUCUGUUGUUUCCACCUUCUAACCGUCAUCAGUAAAGCUGCUGUGAACCUUCGCAUCCAGGUCUCCUGGUGAAAUGAAUGCACACAUCUCUCUUGGGUAUUAUGUGAGUGUCCCGUAGCUGCUGUAAUAAACUAUCACAAAUGCAGUAGCUUAAAACAACAUAGAUUUAGUCUUGUACAGAUCCGGAGGACAGCAGUUGGAAAGGAGACUCAUGAACACCUCAUGUCAAGUUAUCAGCAGCACGGGGCCCUGCUGGAGGCUGCGGGGGUGAGUCCAUUUCCUUGCCUGCUCCAGUUCCCAGAGGCACCCACAUUCCUUGGCUUUUGGCCCCUUCCAGAUGCAAGGACAUCUCUCCGACCUCUGCUCCCGUGGCCACAUCCCCUCCGCUGACUCUGAGCCUCCUGCCUUUCUCACUUAGGACCCUGUGAUGGCAGCAGGCCUAGCCAGUUAAUCCAGCCUCAUCUCCCUCUCCCAAAACCCUCAACUCUAUCGUGUCAGCAGAGUCUCUUUCUCCGUAUUGAGGUAGCGUUCCUUGGGAUGGCCAUCUUGCCCCGAAUAGGUUCCUUGAUGUCCCUGUACUGUUUGCAGGGACACAUUUACAAGUAGGAUUAAUAGCAUCUCCUCCUUUCAGGUCCCUGUGAGAAUCCCUUAGAAAAAUUUAUGAAGGUGGCCGGGCACAGUGGCUCAUGUCUGUAAUCCCAGCACUUUGAGAGGCCGAGGCGGGUGGAUCACCUGAGGUCAGGAGUUUGAGACCAGCCUGACCAACA
rnacentral:lncRNA from 1 species